GAAUGAGGUAGAAAUUGUGCUUGAUUUCUACCCCUGCUCUGUUCCAUAUUGGCUUGGAGGCAGAGUCUUGUUAAGUUUUCAACUGGUUAGUAUUUAGACAGGAAUUGCUGUCCUGAAACCCAUAAGACUUUGAAAGCUCACUGAAAGAAGAGGUGGUGUCUAAUUAUAUCCUAUCAUUGUUUGCACUUAAUGUAUCCACAGCCUGCUCAAGCAAGUGCUUCAUGAACAGAACAGUAGCAUUUACAGGUAAUAUAAGUUUCCCUCUCUUUAGAGAACUUCUACUUUAUUAAUAGUGAUAGGAUG
rnacentral:lncRNA from 1 species